AAGAGAUUUUACUCGGUUAAUUUAUUAACCAUUUUAUUUUAAUUUGAUAACGAGUAACAUCUAUUCAUCAACCAUACUGAUAGAGUAUUGUAUGUACUCCUCACUUGUCAUCGAGCAUCUCUGUAUUCAAUACAGAUAGUUUCCAAAAGUACAAGAAUGUUGCUAUUCGAACCAAACCCGGAUUAUCGGUAUCCACAUAAACUACUGGUGAAGGACAGUUUUGGUCCAACAUUUAUGUGUAUUUCCUACCACAUCAUAAGUGAUUCGACAUCAAAUUAGACGGAUUCAAUCUGGAGUUAAUUUGGUAUCUCGAUCACUGAACAGAUUAAAGAAACGGUGGCAGAGUUUCUCCAGGCACCCCCACUUUACAGGAUUAUUAAUUACUUCAAAUGCAGCAGGAUACAUAUAGAUUAAUUAGCCUCAUACAUAGGAAACAUUAUUAAAUAAGUAUAUUAUAACGGACGGUUUACAUGGUGAGCCAGCUUAGCAUGGAGGAGGCUCGAGGCCACAUUUCUUGGGCAAAGCCAUGGCGCGAGCCGGGUCGAUACCAAAGGCCGGGAGGAAG
rnacentral:lncRNA from 1 species